AAUUUAGAUAUUUUAGUCUUUUAUUUUUAAUUCGAUUUAUAAAAUAAUUAAAAACAAUUUUAAAUGCAUUAAAGGGAUACUUUGGAAUCAAAAGUUUCUAGUUGUGUACUGCAAAAAUGAGGUUUGAGUUACUAACGUUGAAAUCUCGUAACUAGUAAAAGAAAUUUCUGUUCUAGACAGUAAAAAAUCAGGUGAAGUAAAACAUUUCAGUAACUUGAUAUAUGUAAACAACAUUUCGAGAGUAGUGGAGAGCGAAAUCGAUCUAAAGAUAAAAACUCAGAUCUGAUUACGAAAGAAAGAUAGGGUGCUAUUCCCGUAGUAAGAAGAACUAAGUUUUUAAUGAACAUCGGAAUAUGUGAUUUUUGAUGUGUUAGAGGAUUUACCCUCUUCUUUAUAAAUUUUUGAUUACCGAUAGCGAAUAUUACCGUGAGGGAAAAGUGAAAAAGAACUUCUAUAAGAGUUAAAAGAUUUGAAAUGUAAUGCAUAUAAUCAGUUGGAGCUAAUACAAUAAAAAAUUAGUGACAGCGUACCUUUUGCAUAAUGGACCAAUAAAUUUAUUUAAUUAACGAGUUUAAACACAAGUGAUUGUUUAGGCGAAAUUUAUUUGAAAAUAAUAGUUAAUUAGAUAAAACCCGAAGCUGAAUGAGCUAACUAUGAACAGGCUGAAAAAUGUCUAAAACCGUUUGAAGGGCCGAACUCGUGGAUGUUGCAAAAUCUUGGGAUGAUUUGUAGUUAGGGGUGAAAGGCUUAUCAAAUUCAGGGAUAGCUGGAUUUCUGCGAAAUAUAUUUAAGUAUAGCCUAUAAAAAGUAUGAAGAAAGGGUAGAGCACUUUCUGUAUGAAGGGGAUGAAGAGUCUUAUAGAUUACUAAAAAACUACGAAUAUUUCUUCAUGAAUUAUAGAGUCAGACGUUAAGCGCAAAGGUUUAUCGUCGAAAGGGAAACAGCCCAGAUUAACAGUUAAGGUUUUAAAUAGUAAACGAAGUGAUAAGAAUGUGCCGGAGUCAUGACAAUUAUCAAGUAGGCUUGGAAUCAGCCAUCUUCUAAAGAAAUCGUUAAAGAUCAUUAUUCGAACUCUUGCAAGUCGAAGAUUUAUAGAAGCUUUAGUUUACAACCGAAACUUUAGAUAUAUUUUAACAAUUUAUGUGGUAGCAGAAUACUCAACGUGUCGUGAGUUAUUUCGUAAGAAAUAAUGGAGAGAGUUGAGGCAAGCAUAUUGGUAUUAGUAAAGGAAACAAUGAAAAACAUUGUCGCCAAAAGUCCAAGGUUUCUAAUACACGUGAUCAACAUUAUUAGAUUAAUACGGACCCUUAGACAAAUUUACAAUUGUAUAAGUUGAUGGGAAUUUAACGUGACGGAUGUCACUUUUAUCUUUUUUAAAGUUUAAAAUAGUAGAAAAUAUCUCUGGAAAUAGCGUUAAAAAAAUUACCGUACUGCAAACCGCCACAGGUGGACAAAUAAUUUAUAUUAAGGCGAUCAAAAGAACUAUAUGUAAGGAACUCUGCAAAUUGACUCUGUAACUUCGGGAGAAGGGGUGACGCUAUUGUUUUAUUACAAUAGAGUUAGCAUUGAAGAGGAAGCGGCGACUGUUUAACAAAAACACAAGUCUCUGCGAAUUCGAGAGAAGAUGUAUAGAGACUGACGCUUGCCCGGUGCUGAGUAGCUAUGUGGAGAUGUGAAUACAUCGAAAUUAUCCUCCAGCAAACGGCGGCUGUAACUCUGACGGUCCUAAGGUAGCGAAAUUCCUUGGCGGGUAAAUUCCGUCCUGCAUGAGUAGCGUAACGACUGCUUCACUGUCUCGCAUAUAUUUUUGAUGAAUUUGAAAUACCCGUGAAGAUGCGGGUUACUUACGAUUAGACGGAAAGACCCUAUGCACCUUUACUAUGAUCAUUUGUUGUUUUGUUGGUACUCUCUGUGUAGCAUAGAUGGGAGCUAUGGCGUCAUUGAAAUACCAUCCUGAGGGUCCAAUCUUAACUAACCUUUACCAGGGGACAGCGUGUGAGAGGUAGUUUGGCUGGGGCGGCCGCCUCCUAAAGAGUAACGGAGGCGCACAAAGGUAAGCUUAGAUUUUAUAUUGUUAAGGGUAAUGACAUAUGGUUGCCUGACUGUCAGACUGACAAGUCGAACAGGGACGGAAGUCGGUCAUAGUGACCCGGUAGCUUUUAGUGAAAAAGCUAUCGCUCAACGAAUAAAAGGUACGCUAGGGAUAACAGGCUGAUGGUUUUAGAGAGUUCUUAUUGACAAGACCGUUUGGCACCUCGAUGUCGGCUCAUCACAUCCUGAAGCUGUAGAAGGUUUCAAGGGUUCGACUGUUCGCCGAUUAAAGUGGUACGUGAGCUGGGUUCAGAACGUCGUGAGACAGUU
rnacentral:rRNA from 1 species